GGAACUCGUGAGACCAGGGUGCUGGCCAUUGCUUUGUCAGGUUGAAAGUCUGAAAAAAUGGUUAAGUCCCCGUCAACGGCGGCAACCCCCUGAUCCCUUUGGUUAGCCCAGCAGCGUUUCGUGCCUGGGCACUCUAAGGAGACUGUCCGGUGAUAACUCGGAGGAAGGUGGGGAUGACGUCAAGUCAUCAUGGCCCUUACGGCCUGGGCUACACACGUGCUACAAUGGUGCGUACAAAGAGUAAAUUCCUCGCGGGAGCGAGCUAUCCUCAUAAGUGCGUUCGUAGUCCGGAUUCGUUACUGCAAGGGCGACUUACGUGAAAGGUCAGCAUAAGUCGGUCAUGGUAGAUCAGACGUACGCCGUGAUGA
rnacentral:rRNA from 1 species